AUUGAACGCUGGCGGCAUGCUUUACACAUGCAAGUCGAACGGUAACAGGCCGCAAGGUGCUGACGAGUGGUGAACGGGUGAGUAAUGCAUCGGAACGUGCCCAGUCGUGGGGGAUAACUACUCGAAAGAGUAGCUAAUACCGCAUACGAUCUAUGGAUGAAAGCGGGGGACCGUAAGGCCUCGCGCGAUUGGAGCGGCCGAUGUCAGAUUAGGUAGUUGGUGGGGUAAAGGCUCACCAAGCCAACGAUCUGUAGCUGGUCUGAGAGGACGACCAGCCACACUGGGACUGAGACACGGCCCAGACUCCUACGGGAGGCAGCAGUGGGGAAUUUUGGACAAUGGGCGCAAGCCUGAUCCAGCAAUGCCGCGUGCAGGAAGAAGGCCUUCGGGUUGUAAACUGCUUUUGUACGGAACGAAACGGCUCUGGUUAAUACCCGGGGCUAAUGACGGUACCGUAAGAAUAAGCACCGGCUAACUACGUG
rnacentral:rRNA from 1 species